rnacentral:rRNA from 1 species
CCUACGGGAGGCAGCAGUGUGGAAUAUUGGUCAAUGGUCGGGAGACUGAACCAGCCAAGCCGCGUGAGGGAUGAAGGUACAGAGUAUCGUAAACCUCUUUUGUCAGGGAACAAAGGCGGGGACGUGUCCCCGGAUGAGUGUACCUGAAGAAACAGCAUCGGCUAACUCCGUGCCAGCAGCCGAGGUAAUCCGGAGGAUGCGGGCGUUAUCCGGAUUUAUUGGGUUUAAAGGGUGCGCAGGCGGUCUGUUAAGUCGGCGGUCAAAGCCCGGGGCUCAACCCCGGCCCGCCGUUGAAACUGGCAGUCGCGAGUUGGAGAGAAGUAUGCGGAAUGCGCGGUGUAGCGGUGAAAUGCAUAGAUAUCGCGCAGAACGCCGAUUGCGAAGGCAGCAUGCCGGCUCCACACUGACGCUGAGGCACGAAAGCGUGGGUAUCGAACAGGAUUAGAUACCCGGGUAGUC